rnacentral:rRNA from 1 species
UCUGGCGGCCUUAGCGCGGUGGUCCCACCUGACCCCAUGCCGAACUCAGAAGUGAAACGCCGUAGCGCCGAUGGUAGUGUGGGGUCUCCCCAUGCGAGAGAAUCAAGCGAAAGGCCAUCC